ACGAACAUUAUUGUAGAGAAAGAAGGAAACACGAACAACAGUAUUGGAGAGAAAGAUAACAUAAAAAGAAAGAAAAAGAAGAAAGAAGGGGGAAGAGAUAAAAAGGUACAAAGAUAAGGCCGCGAGAAGGAGAAAAAACGAGGUGGAGGGUGCGACCGCUCCAAAAGGGCACGGUUGUUAUUCCGUCGGAGACGGUGACAGUACAAAGUUACAACAGGUACAAAUGUAUCAAUGAGCAAAGCUUGUGCAUCAAUAGCAGAGUCAACAUCAGCAGAGCAAGACGCAUCAAUAGAGAACAAAACAGAGGUAUAACAGGAAAUAAAAAAUAUCCAACUUCGUUGAGCCUACCCAUCAAGUGGUCCUCCUACUAUAGAUAUGCAUGCAGUCAUAUGAGCUAAUCAUACAGGUAGAUAUUUUAAAAGCCACCAAAAAAUAAUCAAACAAAAAUCUUAAUUUUAA